UACGUAGGGGGCAAGCGUUGUCCGGAUUUAUUGGGCGUAAAGAGCGUGUAGGCGGCUUGGUAGGUCCGCUGUGAAAACUCGAGGCUCAACCUCGAGAUGUCGGCGGAAACCACUUGGCUAGAGUCCGGAAGAGGAGAGUGGAAUUCCUGGUGUAGCGGUGAAAUGCGCAGAUAUCAGGAAGAACACCUAUGGCGAAGGCAGCUCUCUGGGACGGUACUGACGCUGAGGAGCGAAAAGCGUGGGGAGCGAACAGG
rnacentral:rRNA from 1 species